rnacentral:rRNA from 1 species
CGCAUCUGUGCAUGCAGCAUAUCAAUAAGCGGAGGAAAAGAAACUAACAAGGAUUCCCCCUAGUGACGGCGAGUGAAGCGGGGAAGAGCUCAAAUUUGAAAUCUUAAAGGGUUUCCCUUUACGAAUUGUAGUUUAAAGAAGUGUUUUCUGUUGAGGUUUUGGUAAAAGUUCUUUGGAAUAGGACAUCAUAGAGGGUGAGAAUCCCGUAUUUGACCUUUACUUUCAACUUUGUGAUACACUUUCAAAGAGUCGGAUUGUUUGGGAAUGCAGUCCAAAAUGGGUGGUAAAUUUCAUCUAAAGCUAAAUAUUGGCGAGAGACCGAUAGCGAACAAGUACCGUGAGGGAAAGAUGAAAAGAACUUUGAAAAGAGAGUUAAACAGUACGUGAAAUUGUCAAAAGGGAAGCGUUUGACACCAGCUGUUGUUUUUCUGAAAAUCAAUUAAAGAACUGUUUAUGCUAAGCUGUUUAGACUUUAUCAGCUAACUGUUUAGUUUUGAGCUUUUCUUUAAUGCACUUUUCAGUUAACAAGUCAACAUCAAUUUCUUUUGCUGUAAAAAAGCUUGAGGAAGGUGGCUUGAGAUUCGUCUUAAGUGUUUAUAGCCUCUUGCCUAUGCAGUCGGAGAGAUUGAGGUCUGCAGCGUAGAUCCUUCGGGGCUAAAUGCAUUUGUGCUAAGUUAUAGCAUUUUAUAGACAACUUGUUGACUAUGAUUUGUCUUGUAGCUUACUCGCUUAUGUUAUUUUACCUACGCUUAGGAUGUUGAGUCAUCACACAUCUCU